AAAAAAAAAAAAAAAAAAUCCAGCAGGGGAAUGGAAUGUUAACACCAUAGAAUAUUUAGGUUCCUCAGGGGAAGGGUGCCCCCAUGAAUUGAGAAUCAGAGGGCAUGGUACAAGUUUCUUUUAAGACUUGCCAAAUCACUUUGUUUUUCCCCUCCAAAUGUCAGGUCACCCAUCUUUAAUUUAGGCUGAUGACUGUCAGCUUCCCAUAUUGGCACAGCCCUAGGCAAACUCUCCUACUACAUACUUACUGUCAUCUUCUGGGGAAGCACUUUUAGGCCCUAAAGUAGAAAGAGGACUGCACCUGCAAAAAAUGAAUUGCUGAAUAGAUACAGGAUUUAAAUCCCAUCUGGAAAGGCAUUCUCUUUUAUUAGAGGAGGUGUUUUCUUUGGUCAUAAUUGAUCCAAGCAACCAAAAUUACUCUACAAACAUCCUGAAGGUUAGAGGGUACUCACUUUGUGAAACUUCCCCCAACAUUCUCACUUGUCUGUAACUAAGUGGCAUUAAAUCCAUUGGUUCUUAUCUAGAGAAAGCCAGGAAUAGUAAAAACAGGCCUCUCUCACUUGUCAGUCUGGACAAUGAAUGCAAUAAACAAGAGCCUAACCAUGAAAAGGUAGCUAAUAAUUUUGUUCUUGGGAAACUUAAAAGGAUGUAGAUUAGGAAAGGUUGGGGUAGUUUCCAAAAAGAUAUAAGUGUUUAAGAUUUUCAAAAAUCCCAAAACAACCCAGGUUUGAUAUUAACUGUGUAUUUCAUAUAAUUUUUCAAAUAAAUUAAUUGAAGUUUACUAAAAACAGCCAGGCUGUCAUUUGCUGGAAUAUGCAAGCACUUUGCAAAAACAGAGGCUUUUUUUGUGGUGCUGUGAAUUUAUGUUCAAAAGCUGUUAAAUAUAUGUAAAUAAACAAUCUGAUAAAUACAUGUUAAGCAAUUCUACUUAUGACACGUUGGUCCAUUGCCCGAUGACAUUGAUGGAAGAGAAAAGAACAAGCUGCAGUCCUGCAGAAAAGAGCCCAGGGAGUAAAGGGAAGGAGCACAACAGAUAACCAAAAGGGGAUAAGAAGAAAAAAACAAGAAAGGCCUCGUCCAGAAGACAGCAGGACACCAUCUACUGAAUGACAUGUCGACUAAUGAACCACACCAUUAUAUUUCCAGGAUGGUCCAGAGAGAAAAAAACACUAGGAUUCAGUAAAAUGCCUCAUCAGACAUUUAAGGAUGAUUCUGAACAAAGUGCUCUUCAGCUGCUAAAAUAGAUCAGCUAAGUCUCUCUCUUCCCAAAGAAGGUGGGCUUGAGGAGACUCCUCCUAGAAGAGUUUAGAUGUUGAUGAUCCUACUUGAAGGCAGAUCUAAUCCAUCAGUAUACAUCUUCAAACUCACAAAAACUCAUAAACUUUCACUUUGAAAGCAAGUUUUACACCAUGUACCUCAGAAUCGUCAAUUGGCAAAGGAGGAAACAGAUGCAAAAAGGUGACACCUCAAGUUUUCAAGAGCAGGUGCUUACCUCAAGGUUGCCAACAAGUUUGUCUCCCAGAAAGUAAGAGCUGUUUGGAUGACACUGUGGAAGAAGAAUGCAUUGCAUUUCCCAAGAGAUUCAGUCCUACAAUGUUAGUGUUACUGCAAAAAAUACAUAGAAAGUGGACACUACUCCUGUUUAUUAAUGCAAACCAGCAACUAAAUUCAGAAAUACAGAUGCUUAGUUUUGGAUUUCAAAUGUAUUUGACAGAACAGCAGUUGUUCUAGACACGAGCACCAAACAAAUACAAGCUUAAGAGACUGGAUAAAGAUGGAGGGCUGCAUCUUCAUCCUUAGAUACCCAAGUUCUUCUCAGGUCCUUUCACCGAGCUUGACUCUAGUAACUAAGGUAAGAUCACCAUGUUAGUUAAGAUUCAGGUCCCAUAUACAGAUCUUCCAAAUCCUUUUUCUAAUUUUCUCCCACAUCUAAUAUCCAUGUUCUCAUCAUUCAUCAUCAGCAUUCUCAGCUCUUUUGUUCCUGUAUACAAAUACUGCAAGUAUGCAAAUAAAAAAGAACUACCAUUAGUAGUGUUGUUGUUAUUCAAAAGAUUUAUGACACUGGUUUUGUUCAAAGCAAGCUUCAAAUCUGUUUAAGAUUUACCAUUAUUAACCAAGUGCAGAGAAUGAGCACCUGAGCAUGAUUUUAGAAGUAUACAUAUUGCAGAAGCAUAGUAGGAAUCCAAAGAAAUUUGGUAUAUCCUACAGAAAGCAGUGAUGCUACAAUUGUGUACAUAUAUGAAAGACUACACUGUAGGAGCUUUAAUAAUGGCAGACACAAAUCUUUUUAACUAGACAAGUGGAUUCUUGUGUUUCAUUGAGGUCAAUGUGCACCUUUAAACACAUUUGCUUAAAGCUACUUGGAAAGAACAAGCCAGAUAUAAUAUUUUGCCAGCUCUCUAAAAGAAGCCAGAAUGCUCAGAAGCCAUCUUUUUAAGCCUAUGCAAAACUAUCAUAAUUGUCAUUACUGCUAUAUGGCAGAGGUAAUGAAGUGAGGGUGAACAGGAUUUCAUGUACCUUUGGCAAGCCAAAUGUUAAUAACAUUAUUAGAAUUACUCAAUAAUUACAGUGCAAAACAAGCAAACAAACAAAAAAGCCAGCCCAAAGAAAUAAUCUUACUUUGGCUACACAGCCAUGUUUGUAUGUACUUUUCUUCUAUGGAUGCACUGAUGUCAGACCACAGUCCUGAAAAAAAAAUAAAAAAAAUCUUUCUUUUCUAUACACUCCAUUUCUACAAAUUGUAUUGCAUUCCCCCCUCCCCUCAUCCCCCUUAAUUAAGGAAGGUUAGACAAGAUGCUCCUUCUUUCAGAAAGCACCCACUGCUGCACCAUUCACUGCUAGUACAAUUUAGGUUCUGCUUGUCAGUCUUAACUAACACUGAGCUUAUCACAGUAGCUGCAACAUUUACCAAGUCUCAAACAUUUGCAAACACUUUUAGGUUUAAUUUCCAUUUUCCCAGAGGCCACGUGUAUAUAGCAGACAUGUAACCACAUGCAAAUCAAGGUCUCCUCGUUAGCCAGUUGCUGCCUGACUGCUGUGCACAGAAAACUUCUUCAGGCAAACGAGUCUCUUGCCAACCAACACUUCUGCCCACAGUGGAAGUUCAGACAGAUGCUUCAACCUCUCCCAAUAUAUCCACAGCAGGUCCAUUACCCCAGACACUUCUUCCUCUAGGGAAAGCAGUUUGUAACUAUUGUGCACCUGAUAUUCUGUUGUUGAGACAGUAGUUCCAUCAUGAACAAACUGAGAUGGAGUUACCUACUCUUUUCUGAAGUUACUCACUGAAAUAAGGGGUUGGGAAAAGAUCAGCCAGGUCCUCGGUUCUCUCUACAGUUUUUGCAUUAUAGUCAUCAUUCCAAGCUUCUUACAUUAUGGAAUCCAAACACUUUUUCUCUGUGAGCAGAAAUACCCUCCUAGGAAUUUGGAAAUUAAGUUCUGGGAAUUUUACUGGCAAAUUCUUUACAAGUAAUUUAUAUUUAAUGUUUGCAUACACUAUUUGCUGUAACUGUUUGCUAAGAAAAUAUUUAUUAGGAUCAGAAGUUUAACAUAAUAAAUCAAACACUUAACAUUCACUGGACUUCAAACAUAGAUAUAAAAUACCUUACAAAAUUAUUUUUUUUUAUGGAAUUACACAAAGCAAAUGCACAGGGUUUAUCUGUUUCUACACUGAAUUAAUCCCAAGCCAAAACCAAAAAUAACCCCAAAAGAUCACAAAAAAAGGCAUGAUAAACUGCAUUUUUGUCAUUGUUGCACUGCUAUGUAAUAAGCCCUUUUUACAAACGUUUACUCAAUGUUAAAAAAAUCAAUUAAAAAUGUAUUCCAUCUAACAGAACUAUUGGAUUAACAGCUGAUUUUUAACUGACUUUACAUAAUUAAAUUCUAUUAAUAGAGGUACUUUAGUCACUUAGUUUAAAAUAUGGAGAGUAGAGAUAGAAAAAAAUUAACCUUUAGUAGUCUUUAAUAUAAAAUGCACUAAAUUUUCCAAAAUAAGAUUACGACACACUAGUGCCAAUUUAUGCUGACGAAAGCUGAUAUCAGCUUCUUUCUAACUAAAAUUAAUUUCACAAAACCUUUAUAUAUUACAUGAAUAUUCAAGUAAACUAUUUAAAAGAUUUUAAAAUGCAAAAACUGAAUGAUACAGUGUUUAAGAGAGAUGGUUAAUUUGGGAAUGCUGUCAUGUCCAACUAUAUAUAUUUAUAUAUUUUUUAUUUUUAAGACCAUCACAAUACUACCUGAUAUUGCAAGAAAUCUCUGUAAUUAACAUUUGAUAUUUUUCAAUGUAUAACUUUAAGAAAAUUAUAAGUAUUUAACAGAUCACUGUACUGUGCGACACUGAAUCACCUUACUGGCUUCCCUUUGUAAAGUGCUGAGCAACAGCCAAAUUAGAUCAGAUUUAAAUGGAGAUGAUGGUGUCAGUGUCUU